AAGUGUUCGAUAAAAGCAAAAUUUAAAUUAAAACACACACUCUCUCUCUCCCCCUCCCCCUCCCCCUCUCGCAUAGCGCAAAGAAAAUGGAAUGGAAAGCGACGGAAACUGUACGAGCAAAAAUGGAGUCCUUGCGGUUGAUUUGCGACAGAGAUGCCCAAAUCCAACUGCAGAAAAUGGACUCCUUCACGGCGUCGUUUUCCAACUCUAUGGAUUCAGUCAAGGCCAGAGCAGAAGAAACUGUGCAGAAUCAAGGGAAAUUAGGGAGGUUGAAAUCUAGCUUGAAAGAAGCUGAUGGUGAAUUUGUUAAAGUUCUGGCAGUUAAGACUCAGAAAGAGGCCAAGCAGCUGGUAACAAGGGACUCCAUAUCUGCUACAAGAGCUAGAAUACAAAAACUUCAAAAGAGUGUUCAAGUUCAAAGGGCCAGGAGGGAUGAGCAUGCAGCAAUCAUGUCCCAGCAAUCUCUAGCUUUGGCAACAUCCAAAGAAACAGAACACCAAGACAUCGACCAUAGAAGGGAAAUUCAAGAGGCAAUGUUAUGGUACAAUAUGGUUCUUGGCUUCAAAAUUGAAGGUGGCAGGGGGGUAAAAUUCACAUUCAACAACAUCAAUUUGAAAAAUCCAUACAAGGAGUACUCUUUCACCAUUCGCUAUGAAAAUGAUAUGUACACAUUGUUGGCUUGUGAUCCACAAUUGAAUGACACCAAACAGUUGAUCCAUGAGUUGAAUAAAACCAAUGGCUUGUUCAAAUUUGUCAGAAAAUUAAGAGAGAAGUUUCAAGAAGCUGCACCACUUGGAUUCUUGCCUCAGUCCACAACUCUUCAUCAAGAGACAACAAUAUCUGUGUCUGCUCCAGUUUUUAGUGACGUAAGUGAAUCUCCAUCAACGACAAGCCAAACUUCAGAUGAACUCAAAAGAAAUUCCAAGAGAAGUAGGCAUGGAAGAGGAGGGAGACAGGCAAUCAUGUCUCCUGUAUCUGUUCGCCGGUCCCCACGCUUUAAGGGUAAGAAAUGAAGAAGUGGAGGCAGUUUUUGUCACCUUUAGUUUGAGUCUCAUAUACGAGAGGAGGGCAAUCCAGCCGGUUAGAGGCUUUUCUCCCAUCUGGCUUGCCCGUUCAAGUCAUCUCUUGUCCCUCCAUUGAGAUUUUUUUUUGCUUAAGGGGAAAUGACAAGGGAGCGUUGACAAACCUGAGAUGUUGAUUUUAGUAACUUGGACGCAAUGAAGUAAAGGGAAUCUGCAGAUAAGAUUUUUAGUACUUAUAUUAGAUUGUUUUUAAUUUUCUUCCAUGAAAAUACUCCGGGAGGAAGAUAAAUGAAGCUACCUGUGAGGAAGCCCUUAUAACUAGCUCUCAAUAUUCCAGUCUUCACAAUGCCUGGAUGUACCGCAUUGAUAGUUACUCUUGCAUUCCUUGCCUGCCAAAAAAAUCAAAAUUUACCUUGAGCUUUGGUGUCUAAAAGGGAAGAGAGAAGAAGUAAAGGGGCUGAUCAUGGGUGGCAUUUUACCCUGAGCUGUCUGGCUAUUUCCUUGACGUGCAAUAUAUUAGCCAAUUUGGAC